rnacentral:SRP_RNA from 1 species
GCCGGGCGUGGUGGCGCAUGCCUGUAGUCCCAGUUACUCAGGAGGCUGAGGCAGGAGAAUUGCUUGAACCCGGGAGGUGGAGGUUGCAGUGAGCCGAGAUCACACCACUACACUCCAGCCUGGGUGACAGAGCAAGACUCUGUCUCAA